rnacentral:rRNA from 1 species
CGAACGGGUGAGUAACGCGUGGGUAACCUGCCUUAUAGCGGGGGAUAACUAUUGGAAACGAUAGCUAAUACCGCAUAACAAUAGAGAUUGCAUAAUCUUUAUUUGAAAGUGCCAACUGGUACACUGUGAGAUGGACCCGCGUUGUAUUAGCUAGUUGGUAGUGUAAUGGACUACCAAGGCGAUGAUACAUAGCCGACCUGAGAGGGUGAUCGGCCACAUUGGGACUGAGACACGGCCCAAACUCCUACGGGAGGCAGCAGUAGGGAAUCUUCGGCAAUGGACGAAAGUCUGACCGAGCAACGCCGCGUGAGUGAAGAAGGUUUUCGGAUCGUAAAACUCUGUUGUUAGAGAAGAAUGUUGAUUAGAGUGGAAAAUUAAUCAAGUGACGGUAUCUAACCAGAAAGGGACGGCUAACUACGUGCCAGCAGCCGCGGUAAUACGUAGGUCCCGAGCGUUGUCCGGAUUUAUUGGGCGUAAAGCGAGCGCAGGUGGUUUAAUAAGUCUGAUGUAAAAGGCAGUGGCUCAACCAUUGUGUGCAUUGGAAACUGUUAGACUUGAGUGCAGUAGAGGAGAGUGGAAUUCCAUGUGUAGCGGUGAAAUGCGUAGAUAUAUGGAGGAACACCGGUGGCGAAAGCGGCUCUCUGGACUGUCACUGACACUGAGGCUCGAAAGCGUGGGUAGCAAACAGGAUUAGAUACCCUGGUAGUCCACGCCGUAAACGAUGAGUGCUAGUUGUUUGGGGCUAUCCAGCCCUAAGUGACGCAGCAAACGCAUUAAGCACUCCGCCUGGGGAGUACGACCGCAAGGUUGAAACUCAAAGGAAUUGACGGGGGCCCGCACAAGCGGUGGAGCAUGUGGUUUAAUUCGAAGCAACGCGAAGAACCUUACCAGGUCUUGACAUACUCGUGCUA